UACGUAGGGUGCAGGCGUUAAUCGGAAUUACUGGGCGUAAAGGGCUCGUAGGCGGCCAACUAAGUCAGACGUGAAAUCCCUCAGCUUAACUGGGGAACUGCGUCUGAUACUGGAUGGCUUGGAUUCGGGAGAGGAAUGCGGAAUUCCAGGUGUAGCGGUGAAAUGCGUAGAUAUCUGGAGGAACACCGGUGGCGAAGGCGGCAUUCUGGACCGAUAUUGACGCUGAGGAGCGAAAAGCCAGGGGGAGCAAACGGGG
rnacentral:rRNA from 1 species